AUUAACCUGGCGGCAGGCUUACACAUGCAGUCGAGCGGAGCGAAGGUGCUUGCACCUUAGCUUAGCGGCGGACGGGUGAGUAAUGCUUAGGAAUCUGCCUAUUAGUGGGGGACAACGUUUCGAAAGUGAACGCUAAUACCGCAUACGUCCUACGGGAGAAAGCAGGGGAUCUUCGGACCUUGUGCUAAUAGAUGAGCCUAAGUCGGAUUAGCUAGUUGGUGGGGUAAAGGCCUACCAAGGGCGACGAUCUGUAGCGGGUCUGAGAGGAUGAUCCGCACACUGGGACUGAGACACGGCCCAGACUCCUACGGGAGGCAGCAGUGGGGAAUAUUGGACAAUGGGCGAAAGCCUGAUCCAGCCAUGCCGCGUGUGUGAAGAAGGCCUUUUGGUUGUAAAGCACUUUAAGCGAGGAGGAGGCUUCUUUGGUUAAUACCCAAAGUAAGUGGACGUUACUCGCAGAAUAAGCACCGGCUAACUCUGUGCCAGCAGCCGCGGUAAUACAGAGGGUGCAAGCGUUAAUCGGAUUUACUGGGCGUAAAGCGUGCGUAGGCGGCUAAUUAAGUCAAAUGUGAAGUCCCCGAGCUUAACUUGGGAAUUGCAUUCGAUACUGGUUAGCUAGAGUAUGGGAGAGGAUGGUAGAAUUCCAGGUGUAGCGGUGAAAUGCGUA
rnacentral:rRNA from 1 species